rfam:Schistosoma rodhaini strain Burundi genome assembly, scaffold: SROB_scaffold0018015
AACCAGCUGACGAGUCCCAAAUAGGACGAAACGCGAAUCCUGGGU